CUCGUCCUGCUGACGUUGUAUGCGACAUCGAUGUGCUAUAUGCUGUAUGCUGAUAAGCCAUUUGGUCCUGUUUUCCCAGUCUUCUUGUCGCAGAUACAGUAAAGCAACCCUGAGUGACCAUC